UGGCGCUUGUUACGAUGCGCUGGAGGUGGGCAGGAUAAGACUAUAAUCAACCAGAUUAUGCUCAGAUUCAGGCCGAUUGCACCGAAACCAGCCAGCGGUGCUCCGGAUGCCGAUAAUUCUUCUUUUAAUAACAAGAAGCUAUUGCUUUCCACUCGAAGAACCAAGAGAAAGUACGUUAGGGUUAGUAAGAACAACAGAUUGAUCAAAAGAAACCAAAAAUUUUCAUCAUCUGAUCAAGGAAAUAAAGAAAAAGAAAUAGAUCAUGGAGGUUUUGACAAGGUCGUUACUCUGCAAUUGUUGCCGGAAAGAAGCGAUCAGUUAAAGAAAUCACCAGAAAGAGGGAGAUCCUGGUGCAAUAUUGAUCUCACAGAAAAAUUAUUUCAUGAUCCAGAGAAUAAUAACAAUAAUCAAGCGGCAUCCAUGCGGCUCAAGUUGAAACAGCCGGUUAUCGACGGGGUAGAUCAGACGGUGGCGAUGGU
rnacentral:lncRNA from 1 species